UACGUAGGGUGCAAGCGUUAAUCGGAAUUACUGGGCGUAAAGCGUGCGCAGGCGGUUUUGUAAGACAGGCGUGAAAUCCCCGGGCUUAACCUGGGAAUGGCGCUUGUGACUGCAAAGCUGGAGUGCGGCAGAGGGGGAUGGAAUUCCGCGUGUAGCAGUGAAAUGCGUAGAUAGGCGGAGGAACACCGAUGGCGAAGGCAAUCCCCUGGGCCUGCACUGACGCUCAUGCACGAAAGCGUGGGGAGCAAACAGG
rnacentral:rRNA from 1 species